UACAGAGGUCUCGAGCGUUAGGCGGAAUCACUGGGCUUAAAGCGUGUGUAGGUGGAUGCCUAAGUACCUUGUGAAAUCCCACGGCUUAACCGUGGAACUGCUUGGUAUACUGGGUGUCUUGAGUCACUCAGGGGCGAGCGGAACAAAUGGUGGAGCGGUGAAAUGCGCAGAUAUCAGGAAGAACACCCGUGGCGAAGGCGGCUCUCUGGGACGGUACUGACGCUGAGGCGCGAAAGCUAGGGGAGCAAACAGG
rnacentral:rRNA from 1 species